AUUGCUUCUUGUCCUUUUGGCUAAGAUCAGGUUUAGUAUCUGUUCUUACCAGUUUAAUAAAAAGCACAAAGAUACUCAGCAAACCAUAUGUGGCCAUGAAAGUCAAAAAUACAGGAUGGGGCAAACCUACAGGGUAGGUUUGCAGUUGUUUGCAUGGAAAAAUAAUGCAAUGAUUAAUAAAUACAAC